UACGGAGGGGGCUAGCGUUGUUCGGAAUUACUGGGCGUAAAGCGCGCGUAGGCGGCUUUGUAAGUUAGAGGUGAAAGCCCGGAGCUUAACUCCGGAACUGCCUUUAAGACUGCAUCGCUAGAAUUGUGGAGAGGUGAGUGGAAUUCCGAGUGUAGAGGUGAAAUUCGUAGAUAUUCGGAAGAACACCGGUGGCGAAGGCGGCCAACUGGACCACAACUGACGCUGAGGCGCGAAAGCGUGGGGAGCAAACAGG
rnacentral:rRNA from 1 species